rnacentral:rRNA from 1 species
AGCAAUCGAAGCAGUGAACUCAAGCCCCAGUAAACGGCGGCCGUACCUAGAACGGUCCUAAGGUAGCGAAAUUCCUGGGCGGGUAAGUUCCGACCCGCACGAAAGGCGUAACGAUUUGGGCACUGUCUCAACAACAGACUCGGUGAAAUUGUAAUUCCGGUGAAGAUGCCGGAUACCGGCGACAGGACGGAAAGACCCCAUGGAGCUUUACUGUAGCUUGACAUUGGGUCUUGGUACUACAUGUACAGGAUAGGUGGGAGGCUUUGAACCCAGGACGCCAGUUUUGGCGGAGCCAUCCUUGGGAUACCACCCUUGUAGUACUGGGACUCUAACCAUAGGCCAUGAAUCUGGUCUUGGGACACUGUCAGGUGGGCAGUUUGACUGGGGCGGUCGCCU